GGAAGGGAUGUGUAAUUAUUGAAAAGCAGUGAAUCUUUACAAUGUAAUAAUGCAGCCCUUGUCCUUCAUGGCUUUUAAGUCAUUUCUCAUUGAUCUCUAAUUAUUGGCGAUUGAUUCCGCGGAGAGGGGUCCCGGCCAGACAGGACUUUUUUUUCCCUCUCUCUCUCUUUUCUUUCCGACGCUUUGAGUAAUUCUCAGCUUCGGAAAGAUUUCCAGGGCAGCCUUGUGUUUCUGCAACCCUUCAAGUAUCUGUAUUCAAUAUCAGACCCUUAAAUCGUCGGCAAAUCCACAGAGUCAGCGGAAUAAUAGAUCGCCGCAUUCAUUCACGGAAGAGAGUAGUUUUCGAUUUGGAAGGACAAAUUAAGUGGGACAUUGUCUCUGACAAAAAAAAAGGGGGGAGGGUGGAUUGAAGGAUGGUUUCUUCGAUUUUUUAUUUUUGUGUUUCAAAUGAUGGAACGGGCUGGAGAGCAUCGCGGAAUCCCGGAGCUACACCUCCAACCCGCUGGACAGACAAGGUAAUGGCCAGGCAUUGAUUAGUGAUCAGAUCAGCAGCGAGAUUCACUUCCCCCAGCGCCGAGUCGACCACAAUGACUCCCGAAGAUAAUAUGUGGAGUCCAAUUGAUGGAGCAAGUUGGACUUUCUCACCCCGCCCCCUCUCCCCCCCAAAUUCAUCAAUGAGGAGAUGUUUGUUUUCUACUUGGAAUCAAUUGUGUGUUUUCUUUUUUAAACAUAGUUAAAUCUAUAGAUCACAAGUUGUGACGGCUCAUGAAUAAAGGGUAUAUAUAUAUAUAUAUAUAUAUAUAUAUCAAGCGGCAAGGUGCAGAGGAGGCGCCCAGUCCUGUACACUCAGUUUGCAAUGACCUUUUUAAGAGUCAGGAUAAGGCACAAGGGUUGAGUGAGUGAGGCACACACACACACACACACACAUACACACACAUAUAGACAGCAUUACUUGAUUUGACUGCUUCACACGCCACGGGACUUCAAGCAGCACAACUUGAAUCUCAAAGAUUUCUCCCAGGCCAGGUCCAAGGUGAAGUGCUGAGAUGUCGAUGAUCAGGAGUCAGCAGGUUGGUGGGUGCUGGAGUUGCUGUGUGCACCCCUCUCUUAAGGAAGAAGUGAGAGGACCAUCAGCUAUGAAAGUAGAUCAAACUUGCAAGUGUCCAAUUAACCCAACAGCCAGGUUGUCUUGGGUUACGGAAGGAAGCCAGAACAUCCAGAGGAAACCUAUGUGCUCCACAGGGAGAACGUGUAAACCAGAGGUCAUGGUUGGACCAGGGUCACUGUGAGUGUUGAACAGCUUUUCACCCUGUGACACCUGUUUUCCCAAAGUUUCCCACUUUCUUUGUCUUAUCUAACUGAUUAUGCACCUAGGCAUCCAGGAUGCCCCAGGUCCCUUUCUCCUUGAGGAACAUGCUCUUUACAUGGUGACUUUUUGCAUUCUUGUGUACGGCAUGCAAAACAAUUUCACUGUACCAAGUAAACGCAACAAGAAAGAAUCAAUCCAUAUAUAUUUUCUAGCGAAUCCCUGCUGGAAUUCCCUCGCAUUGCUUUUAUACUGAUUGACAUAAAGGUAGCUGCUUCCAGCCCACUUCUGCUAUAUCACUUCCAUGUCCAGUAACAUUGAUCUUGCCCCAGUUUAAAAGCUUGGCUGCUGUUGUAUCUUUGUUUCUUUCCUGUAACUACACUGUGAUCAGUGCCACAAAAAUGCUUUCCCACUGACACUGACACCAGGGCCAGAUUUAGAUGAAGAGAGGCCCUAAGCUAUUUCCUUCAUAACCACAUUUUUUCCAGUCCCAGCAACAGAAUCAAAAAUCUCCUCUCUACGGGCUGGGGUCACAAGGUUUGAGGGGGAUGGGGAAGCCCCAGUGGA